rnacentral:rRNA from 1 species
CCACACUGGGANUGAGACACGGCCCAGACUCCUACGGGAGGCAGCAGUGGGGAAUUUUGGACAAUGGGCGAAAGCCUGAUCCAGCAAUGCCGCGUGUGUGAAGAAGGCCUUCGGGUUGUAAAGCACUUUUGUCCGGAAAGAAAUCCUUGGCCCUAAUACNGUCGGGGGAUGACGGUACCGGAAGAAUAAGCACCGGCUAACUACGUGCCAGCAGCCGCGGUAAUACGUAGGGUGCAAGCGUUAAUCGGAAUUACUGGGCGUAAAGCGUGCGCAGGCGGUUUGCUAAGACCGAUGUGAAAUCCCCGGGCUCAACCUGGGAACUGCAUUGGUGACUGGCAGGCUAGAGUAUGGCAGAGGGGGGUAGAAUUCCACGUGUAGCAGUGAAAUGCGUAGAGAUGUGGAGGAAUACCGAUGGCGAAGGCAGCCCCCUGGGCCAAUACUGACGCUCAUGCACGAAAGCGUGGGGAGCAAACAGGAUUAGAUACCCUGGUAGUCCACGCCCUAAACGAUGUCAACUAGUUGUUGGGGAUUCAUUUCCUUAGUAACGUAGCUAACGCGUGAAGUUGACCGCCUGGGGAGUACGGUCGCAAGAUUAAAACUCAAAGGAAUUGACGGGGACCCGCACAAGCGGUGGAUGAUGUGGAUUAAUUCGAUGCAACGCGAAAAACCUUACCUACCCUUGACAUGGUCGGAAUCCUGCUGAGAGGCGGGAGUGCUCGAAAGAGAACCGGCGCACAGG